rnacentral:rRNA from 1 species
GUCAUAUGCUUGUCUCAAAGAUUUAAGCCAUGCAUGUCUAAGUAUAAGCAAUCUAUACGGUGAAACUGCGAAUGGCUCAUUAAAUCAGUUAUCGUUUAUUUGAUAGUACCUUACUACAUGGAUACCUGUGGUAAUUCUAGAGCUAAUACAUGCUAAAAACCUCGACUUCGGAAGGGGUGUAUUUAUUAGAUAAAAAACCAAUGCCCUUCGGGGCUCCUUGGUGAAUCAUAAUAACUUAACGAAUCGCAUGGCCUUGCGCCGGCGAUGGUUCAUUCAAAUUUCUGCCCUAUCAACUUUCGAUGGUAGGAUAGUGGCCUACCAUGGUGGCAACGGGUAACGGGGAAUUAGGGUUCGAUUCCGGAGAGGGAGCCUGAGAAACGGCUACCACAUCCAAGGAAGGCAGCAGGCGCGCAAAUUACCCAAUCCCGAUACGGGGAGGUAGUGACAAUAAAUACUGAUACGGGGCUCUUUUGGGUCUCGUAAUUGGAAUGAGUACAAUUUAAAUACCUUA